ACGUUAGCGGCGGACGGGUGAGUAACACGUGGGUAACCUACCUAUAAGACUGGGAUAACUUCGGGAAACCGGAGCUAAUACCGGAUAAUAUUUCGAACCGCAUGGUUCGAUAGUGAAAGGUGGUUUUGCUAUCACUUAUAGAUGGACCUGCGCCGUAUUAGCUAGUUGGUAAGGUGACGGCUUACCAAGGCGACGAUACGUAGCCGACCUGAGAGGGUGAUCGGCCACACUGGAACUGAGACACGGUCCAGACUCCUACGGGAGGCAGCAGUA
rnacentral:rRNA from 1 species